rnacentral:tRNA from 1 species
GGACCCGUAGCUCAGCUGGACAGAGCAAUGCCCUCCUAAGGCAUGUGCCGAAGGUUCGAAUCCUUUCGGGUCCGCCA